rnacentral:rRNA from 1 species
GACGAACGCUGGCGGCGUGCUUAACACAUGCAAGUCGAACGAAGUGGCGAACGGGUGAGUAACGCGUAAUCAAACUGCCCUUCAGAGGGGGACAACAGUUGGAAACGACUGCUAAUACCGCAUACUGAAGGAGGGGAUUGCGUCGGAUUAGCUAGUUGGAGGGGUAACGGCCCACCAAGGCGAUGAUCAGUAGCAGGGCGUGGAGGAUGAACGGCAACAAUGGGACUGGGACACGGGCCAGACUGCUACGGGAGGCAGCAGUGGGGAAUCUUGCGCAAUGGACGAAAGUCUGACGGAGCAACGCCGCGUGAGUGAUGACGGCCUUCGGGUUGUAAAGCUCUGUUAAUCGGGACGCGGUACCGGAAUAGAAAGCAACGGCUAACUACGUGCCAGCAGCCGCGGUAAUAC